UAACGCGUAUGCAACCUACCUUCUACAAGAGGAUAGCCCAGAGAAAUUUGGAUUAAUACUCUAUACGAUCAUUAAUUGGCAUCAAUUUAUGAAGAAAACUCCGGUGGUAGAAGAUGGGCAUGCGUCCUAUUAGUUAGUUGGUAAGGUAAUGGCUUACCAAGACUUCGAUAGGUAGGGGUCCUGAGAGGGAGAUCCCCCACACUGGUACUGAGACACGGACCAGACUCCUACGGGAGGCAGCAGUGAGGAAUAUUGGACAAUGGAGGCAACUCUGAUCCAGCCAUGCCGCGUGCAGGAAGACGGCCCUACGGGUUGUAAACUGCUUUUAUACAGGAAGAAUUAUGCCUACGUGUAGGUA
rnacentral:rRNA from 1 species